GUGGAACCUGGAAUUCAAACGGCUGGGGCCUCACUCACGGCAUAUGGAACUAACCACGCCCCUAACUAAGAAGGCACACCUUAGUUGCAGUUAGCACACAAUUAAAGCAACUCUCCAAGUUUUACCUUAAAGUUCAAAAUUGCUAGGAGUUGAAACUACUAGAAAUAUAUUUACAUGCAAGAGUCAAAGAAACUUUGAACUAUUUAUGGCCUUUAAUAAUUAAGUAAGGUAUACUCCUGUGAUCAAGACUUGGAGCAUAUUUGUUUCUCUCUGCCUGGUUCCUCUAGAAAUUGGAAACUAUCAGAACAGAGACCAACUCCGUUUCCCGAUCCCUUUGCAAUCUGCAUUGAACCAUGAGUCAAGUUCUUGAUAAAGGAGUGAAAAUGGAUGACAUUUAAGGCACAUCUGAAGAUGGGGAAACCACAGCACAGAAUAAGGCUGGGCCCUUGAAUCAAUAAAUGAAGGAGAACUACUCAAGAGAACAAAACCACCAGCAAUAUCCACCUGUAUUUGUCUUUUCAUAAUGUGUGACACAUGUGCUCAUGGAUUAUUGUCCGAAGCAAGACAUGUGACCAAGCCUAACAUCAACUGGGUGAAGAGCUAUAUGUUCCUUUCUCAAGAGGCACUACAAGUGACAUGCCACUGGGCAGUGGCUGCUAUGGAAACAAGUCCUGAUGCAUGACAGAGGAGGAAAGCUAUCAGUCCUGUGGUUAAAGAGGGGACAUUUCCACUAGAUUUCCAAUUGCAUAUGGAAUCAAGAAAGAAGCAACUGGGAAUUACUUCACACAGCAAAUCUAAGGAAGAGACUGUUAAUUUGGCUUUGCCAGUUACUCCUUCUCAAGGCCCAUAAUUAAAUGUGAGUUUCUGGGCACUAAUGCAAAAGCCAGAUUUGCUCUGAGCCUGCGGGGCUUAUAAAUUGGUUGCUUUUGCAAACUGUUAUUGUUCCUUUAGGUCAAGAGGGGAAGAAUUAUUGACUUUGUUCAGUUGAAUUAAAUGCUCCCCUUGUGGUUUGAAAGAAGAAAUUUGCCUCCCUCACCCUCUAAGAUUACAUACAAAGGGAGAAUUGUUUUUGGGCAAGUUAGACUUGAUGAAAAAAUAUACAGUUCUACUGGAUUAUAGCACUGUGUGUUGCCUUAGAGUCACAUGACUCCAGUUUUGCCUUCUAUAUGAAGCCCAAGGCUUUCAUCUUUUUCUGAUACAGUGGGCUCUUCAGCUUUAAGCACUGACUUUUGUGUGCUAGUAUACAAUGCCUGUACACUCCCACAAAAAGCUCAAGAUGUCCUUACACGUAUUUGCUGUAGGUGUCCUUCAGCCGAUUUCAGUGCCUAGAAUCUAGAUGCUUUGCACCUAGUUUCACCUUUGCUCACAGAUGCUAGUGCCUUUUAGAAUCCCAAGAGGCCAAAGUAAAACUGAAAAGCCUAGGAGGACCUGGUGUGGCAAAAUCUCAUCAUGAUCCAUGCAACAGUGGAGGCAAUGUUACGCUCUGCCUCAGGUUAUACUUCUAUGCAAAUUAAAAAUAAAAUUCAUAGGAAGCAAUUAUAUUAGAGUUGGUAUUUAAUCCAGCAUUCUUCUGAAUUAUCUUACAUAUAAACUUAGUUCAUCUUAAUAUGAGA
ensembl:lncRNA LINC01515 long intergenic non-protein coding RNA 1515